UGUCUGUUUAAAUUACUUUUGAUUAGUAAAACUCCCUCAAUCCAACUCCUUUUCUGUUCCCAGUUACAGACAGGAACAAUUAAGGUAAAAUUCCCUCGGUGCCAUAGUCCACAUGCUCAUAACUUUCUUCCUGAUUCAUUUCAAUCUACCAAACUUGGUAGAAUUCAUGUCUGUUUGGACUACUUUUGACUAGUAAAACUCCCUCAAUUGAACUCCUUUUCUGUUCCUAGCUACAGACAGGAAUAUCUGAGGUAAAAGUCCUUUUUUGCCAAAUUCCACAUGCUCAUAACUUUCUUCCUGGUUCAUUUCAAUCUACCAAACUUGGUAGAAUUCAUGUCUGUUUAAAUUACUUUUGAUUAGUAAAACUCCCUCAAUCCAACUCCUUUUCUGUUCCCAGUUACAGACAGGAACAAUUAAGGUAAAAUUCCCUCGGUGCCAUAGUCCACAUGCUCAUAACUUUCUUCCUGAUUCAUUUCAAUCUACCAAACUUGGUAGAAUUCAUGUCUGUUUGGA